AUGCCUCCUUCAGCCUCACAGCUACUGAAAUUGGAACAGAAGAGAGAAGAUUAGCAUGGCUCUUGUGCAAGGAUGACAGGCAAAUUCUUGGAAAAAAAAAAAAAGGCCUU
ensembl:snRNA U6 U6 spliceosomal RNA